GCAGGUAUGGAUGUCUGUGUCACAGAAGUCCCCAAUGAGGAAUUUCGGGUCGACAUAUUGUGUGUUGUUUCUACAUGCACACAGCUACAUUUUUCCUGUCAUUGUUGACAAACUCUUUUUGCACUUUAUGCCCUCAUUAACAAUGAUCAAAAAUAAUAUAAACUUUUUUCCUGCGGUGACUAAAGGUUUGCAUUGAACAGCAUCAUGUGACAGAUAACCAGAGUGAAAUAGGCGCAUUAACCACAUCGUGAAAGUGGAGGGUUCCUCUGCUUUGGCAGAAGUCUGCUUUGAGUGCUGCUCUAGUUGUUCCCAGAUCAGGUUGCUGCAGCCUGCUGGGAUUCCUGUGCUGACUUUGGGAAGAUUUCCAACAAGAACCAAAGUCUGCUCAUCCUCAUCUCCAUCACACAUCAUUAGUUCUUUUUGUUUGUUUUUUGUUUUUGUGUUGGUUUUUUACCAGGAGUAAUCCGAGAUGAAGAAGAGAAGUCAGUUUUCUUUUAGGAAUUCUCUUCAAAAAAAAAAGUGUGAAAGCGCACAAAGUUAACACAGACGUCAAAGUUUCCCAGCCCCCCUAAACUUUUUUUUUUUUUUUUUUUUUUUGCGGUCACUCCCUUCCACAAAAACUGUUCCAGUUUGAUGCGGAUCCAGCUCUGGCGCAACAUCACUCCAGGCGCACGUUCCGAGCGCAAAUUCCCACCGACGUGACGAUGCGCGCUGCGCAUCCGCACAUCUGCUAAUGCAAUCAAAGCGGGUUUUAUCUGAACCGAUGCAAAGUUCUAAAGCGUCUACGUGGCAGCAGGUAGAAAUUUAUUAUGCAAAAAUGAAACCGCAAGCGCGCGUAAAAAGACGCGCGCACGGAAAUCUGGCCGGACUUAUGAGAAGGAGAGAAAGAAAGAAAGAGGUCAUACUUACAGAGAGAGCGGGGUGAAGAUCCGGACCGCGGUCUGGAGAAGUCCAAACUUUAACUUUGAUCCUUCUGGUGCCUGAAAUUCGUCCAGUGCGCGCGACCAAAGUGUCAAAGGCGCAGCAGUGUGUUCCGAUCCGGCACAGAUGGAGCGUCCCUGCUGUCUGCGUGCGCGGCGCGGCGCGGCGGCACUGACGGACUGACACGCGCGCGCACUCUGCAGGAGAGGUCUGCCCGUGACGUCACACACUGCAAAAA